AGGGUGUUAGUCCAAAGAAAGACCUCUGAUUUCGGCUCAGAAAACCGUGGUUCAACUCCACGACUCCCUU
rnacentral:tRNA from 1 species